UACGAGAGGCCCAAACGUUUAUUCGGAAUUACUGGGCUUAAAGAGUUCGUAGGCGGCAUGGAAAGUAGGGUGUGAAAGCCCUCGGCUCAACCGAGGAAUUGCGCUCUAAACUACCGUGCUUGAGGAAUCUAGAGGUGAGCGGAACUGAUGGUGGAGCGGUGAAAUGCGUUGAUAUCAUCAGGAACACCGGAGGCGAAGGCGGCUCACUGGGGGAUUUUCUGACGCUGAGGAACGAAAGCCAGGGGAGCGAACGGGG
rnacentral:rRNA from 1 species